rnacentral:rRNA from 1 species
CUCAGAUUGAACGCUGGCGGCAGGCCUAACACAUGCAAGUCGAACGGUAACAGGAAGAGCUUGCUUCUUUGCUGACGAGUGGCGGACGGGUGAGUAAUGUCUGGGAAACUGCCUGAUGGAGGGGGAUAACUACUGGAAACGGUAGCUAAUACCGCAUAACGUCGCAAGACCAAAGAGGGGGACCUUCGGGCCUCUUGCCAUCGGAUGUGCCCAGAUGGGAUUAGCUAGUAGGUGGGGUAACGGCUCACCUAGGCGACGAUCCCUAGCUGGUCUGAGAGGAUGACCAGCCACACUGGAACUGAGACACGGUCCAGACUCCUACGGGAGGCAGCAGUGGGGAAUAUUGCACAAUGGGCGCAAGCCUGAUGCAGCCAUGCCGCGUGUAUGAAGAAGGCCUUCGGGUUGUAAAGUACUUUCAGCGGGGAGGAAGGGAGUAAAGUUAAUACCUUUGCUCAUUGACGUUACCCGCAGAAGAAGCACCGGCUAACUCCGUGCCAGCAGCCGCGGUAAUACGGAGGGUGCAAGCGUUAAUCGGAAUUACUGGGCGUAAAGCGCACGCAGGCGGUUUGUUAAGUCAGAUGUGAAAUCCCCGGGCUCAACCUGGGAACUGCAUCUGAUACUGGCAAGCUUGAGUCUCGUAGAGGGGGGUAGAAUUCCAGGUGUAGCGGUGAAAUGCGUAGAGAUCUGGAGGAAUACCCGGUGGCGAAGGCGGCCCCCUGGA